UACGUAGGGGGCAAGCGUUGGUCCGGAUUUAUUGGGCGUAAAGAGCGUGUAGGCGGCCAGACAGGUCCGCUGUGAAAACUCGAGGCUCAACCUCGAGAUGUCGGUGGAAACCGUCUGGCUAGAGUCCGGAAGAGGAGAGUGGAAUUCCGGGUGUAGCGGUGGAAUGCGUAGAGAUCCGGAAGAACACCGGUGGCGAAGGCGGUCGUGC
rnacentral:rRNA from 1 species